GACGAACGCUGGCGGCGUGCUUAACACAUGCAAGUCGAACGGAAAGGCCCUGCUUUUGUGGGGUGCUCGAGUGGCGAACGGGUGAGUAACACGUGAGUAACCUGCCCUUGACUUUGGGAUAACUUCAGGAAACUGGGGCUAAUACCGGAUAGGAGCUCCUGCUGCAUGGUGGGGGUUGGAAAGUUUCGGCGGUUGGGGAUGGACUCGCGGCUUAUCAGCUUGUUGGUGGGGUAGUGGCUUACCAAGGCUUUGACGGGUAGCCGGCCUGAGAGGGUGACCGGCCACAUUGGGACUGGAAUACAGCCCAGACUCCUACGGGAGGCAGCAGUGGGGAAUAUUGCACAAUGGACGGAAGCCUAGUGCAGCAACGCCGCGUGCGGGAUGACGGCCUUCGGGUUGUAAACCGCUUUCGCCUGUGACGAAGAGGGAGUGACGGUAAUGGGUAAGGAAGCACCGGCUAACUACGUG
rnacentral:rRNA from 1 species